UUUACACUCCCAGGCUGAGUUUUAACAAAGGCAAGAUAAGUCAGCAUCAGUCCUGUAUGCAAGCUUUGUUAGUUGGGGUGCUCAAGGCCAGGCCCUGGAGGACCAGCCCAAGCCCCCUAGGAAGCUUUGUGAAGAUAAGGAACAGGCAGCUGGGGAAAGCUACCUUUCCCAGGAAGCUACUGAAUGAUCCAGUCCUCCACAGUGAAAAGCUAAGCAGGAAGGAAGAUGACAUGGGAUCCAGGUGACAAGGCUCCAACACAAGACACAUGAAGGAAUCCAAUGAGUGAGAAUGAAGAGAAGUCCCAGCAUAGCAGUUUUAGUUAGGAAAACCUAGAAAUCUUUUUAGAUUUCUUUCUAGAGAAUAAUCAGCUUUACUGGGACACAUGAAGGAGGCUUCUAAAGGAGACAGUCAAGAUGAAAAUGAAAGUGAUGGAAUACCUAGCAUGUAUAAACAAACUCACAGAAGACUUUCUGAUCUGUCCCAGAGGAAAAUUUGAGAGAUUUAGCAACAGGUGCAAAGAAAACUUAGCAAA